rnacentral:SRP_RNA from 1 species
UCGUGCUAAGCGGGGAAUUAGCGGUGCCCUGUACUCGCAAUCCGCUACAGCGAGGCUGAACUCCUCUCAGAGGCCGCACGUUCUCAUGGUCUGCCCUAAGUAAGUGGUGUUGACAUUCGGGUUCCACGCAACGGAAUCUCGUGAAUCCUGUCAGGUCCGGAAGGAAGCAGCAGUAAGCGAGUCCUUCCGUGUGCCGUGGAGUUGCCUGAAUCGAGCAAACUGCUUAGGUAACGCUUGAGGGUGUCCGGUCGAAGAGAGGUGCACGG